rnacentral:rRNA from 1 species
GAAUCCCAUAAAACCAUUCUCAGUUCGGAUUGCAGGCUGCAACUCGCCUGCAUGAAGCUGGAAUCGCUAGUAAUCGCGGAUCAGCAUGCCGCGGUGAAUACGUUCCCGGGCCUUGUACACACCGCCCGUCACACCACGAGAGUUUGUAACACCCGAAGUCGGUGGGGUAACCUUUUGGAGCCAGCCGCCUAAGGUGGGACAGAUGAUUGGGGUGAAGUCGUAACAAGGUAGCCGUAUCGGAAGGUGCGGCUGGAUCACCUCCUUUCUAAGGAA